CGGCGCUGGAACGGAAUUGGUCCAGGAGUAAAUCCUUAAGCAGCAACAGGGCCUCCGACGCUCUAUUCACAGCCACUAUCUCGCUAAUACGGAAAGCACCGAAAAAAGCUAACAAGAAGACAGCUUUGAAUAAAGAAUUUUCAUAGGAAGAGGAACAAAUGGCCGGUAUAAAUGGGAACCCAAGGGAGACAUUUGGCAUGGCAUAAAAUCCUUCAGGCAAGUCUCCUUUAUACCUGCGCUAUUCUCAAGUGAGGGAAUUAUCUGGAGCCCCAACCUAUCCUCGGCCGACGCUAUGUUGUCAGUGUUUGAGACCACAUUAGGCAUCUCAACAACAAAGUCAUUGUCAGGUACUCACGUGCAUACAGUUGAUCCAUUCUCCAAUCAAGAUGAAGAAGAUCUUCCCUUGAAGCCCAGAUCGCACAAGGCAUCUGUUACCAGGUUCUGGAGGUACAGAAUAGGAGUGGGAUCUCUAAUAUAUAUAUAUUUUGGAGCUGUCCUCUGAUACAACCUUUUUGGCAGACAACCCAAGAUGUCUUUCACGGACGUACCAAGAC